rnacentral:rRNA from 1 species
GGGGACCCGCACAAGCGGUGGAUGAUGUGGAUUAAUCGAUGCAACGCGAAAACCUUACCUACCUGACAUGUCCGGAAUCCCGAAGAGAUUUGGGAGUGCUCGCAAGAGAACCGGAACACAGGUGCUGCAUGGCUGUCGUCAGCUCGUGUCGUGAGAUGUUGGGUUAAGUCCCGCAACGAGCGCAACCCUUGUCAUUAGUUGCCAUCAUUUGGUUGGGCACUCUAAUGAGACUGCCGGUGACAAACCGGAGGAAGGUGGGGAUGACGUCAAGUCCUCAUGGCCCUUAUGGGUAGGGCUUCACACGUCAUACAAUGGUCGGUACAGAGGGUUGCCAACCCGCGAGGGGGAGCUAAUCCCACAAAGCCGAUCGUAGUCCGGAUCGCAGUCUGCAACUCGACUGCGUGAAGUCGGAAUCGCUAGUAAUCGUGGAUCAGCAUGUCACGGUGAAUACGUUCCCGGGUCUU